UUGUCUUUUGUCCAUAAAAGGCUCAAGAAAAGGGCACCUAAAUUGAAACAAAGCGCACCUGCAGCUAGUUGGGUUCGUGUAUUCUCCACUUCCCUCCGUGGUGUGCGGCAAAAAAGACUACAUUCGUGAGAGAAAAAGGGCGCGGUUUGUUUGAGUGAGUGAGGGAAUUUUGUAAGCAGCCAUAGGUUUGAAUAAGGUUUUCAGUGUGAUGUGGAGUUGUUUCCACCUACAACCCAGUAUUGUUUCACAGCAAUCAGAACCUUCUCGGGCACAAGGGGGC
rnacentral:lncRNA from 1 species